rnacentral:rRNA from 1 species
AUUGAACGCUGGCGGCAUGCUUUACACAUGCAAGUCGAACGGUAACAGGUUAAGCUGACGAGUGGCGAACGGGUGAGUAAUGCAUCGGAACGUGCCCGAUCGUGGGGGAUAACGCAGCGAAAGCUGCGCUAAUACCGCAUACGAUCUGAGGAUGAAAGCGGGGGACCGUAAGGCCUCGCGCGAUCGGAGCGGCCGAUGUCAGAUUAGAUAGUUGGUUGGGUAAAGGCUCACCAAGCCAACGAUCUGGAGCUGGUCUGGGAGGACGACCAGCCACACUGGGACUGAGACACGGCUCAGACUCCUACGGGAGGCAGCAGUGGGGAAUUUUGGACAAUGGGCGAAAGCCUGAUCCAGCAAUGCCGCGUGCAGGAAGAAGGCCUUCGGGUUGUAAACUGCUUUUGUACGGAGCGAAAAGGCUCUCUCUAAUACAGGGGGCUCAUGACGGUACCGUAAGAAUAAGCACCGGCUAACUACGUGCCAGCCGCCGCCGUAA